rnacentral:tRNA from 1 species
GUCCCUGUAGCGCAAUGGAUAGCACGUUGGACUUCUAAUCUAAUAGGUCGUGGGUUCGAAUCCCACCUGGGAUG